rnacentral:lncRNA from 1 species
CAAAUAAAUCUUCAACUCUUAUUUAUUUAUAUUCCUUCUUAGGAAAAUGCCCUUUCAUGAUCGACCCAGAUAUCCAAACCACAGAAAAAGAGAAGCAAUGAUUUUAUCAUCUUAUGCUGGAAUCUUAAUGAACAGUAUCCCAAUUGAGGAAGUCUUUAAAAUUUAUGGGGCUGAUUCUUCUGCCAAUUCUGGUACUACCAAGGUAAGGGUAAUUUGGGACUAUCAAUAGAGGGGAGAUUGAAAGAGAG